AAUACCUCUUUUGGCAUGUAGUGAACAUUUCAAAUUGAAAUGGCUAAUACAGACGGGCACAGUGGAUGCUCUUGUCAGUGAAGAACAGGAAACGGAGGCUACAAUUCACACGGGUUCACAAAAACUGGACAAGAGGAGACUAGGAAAAUGUUGCCUGCUCUGAUCAGUCUUGGUUUCUGUUGUGACAUUUGGAUGGCAAGAUGACUCACUGUGGAAGAAAGCUAGGCCUGGCAAAGUUGUGUAGGAGACUCAACAGCGCCACUGUUUGGACAAAAGUGGCAAAUUCACCCUUGUUCAGUGGACCAAAACGAAACACGCAAGCCUUGAUUUAUCUGUAAUUUCCGUUUUAUUUAAAAUGAAGCUUCAAGAUAAUAACUCCUCCACGCUGUUUCCUGUUUUUGCAUCAUAAAAUUGUCUGUAUACUGAAAAUAACAAUCUGAUAAUCUCUUGUGGUAACAAAAAAUUUGCUACAGCUCCUCAAAACAGCAAAUAAAUUACAUGUUCUUCAGAUAAUAGAUAAAUUA